rnacentral:rRNA from 1 species
CGAUUGUAGUCAUAUGCUUGUCUCAAAGAUUAAGCCAUGCAUGUCUAAGUAUAAGCAAUUAUACCGCGAAACUGCGAAUGGCUCAUUAUAUAAGUUAUCGUUUAUUUGAUAGCACAUUACUACUUGGAUAACCGUGGUAAUUCUAGAGCUAAUACAUGCUAAAAAUCCCGACUUCGGAAGGGAUGUAUUUAUUAGAUUAAAAGCCAACGCCCUUCGGGGCUCUCUGGUGAUUCAUAAUAACUGGUCGAAUCGCAUGGCCUUGCGCCGGCGAUGGUUCAUUCAAAUUUCUUCCCUAUCAACUUUCGAUGCGAGGGUCUUGUCCUCGCAUGGUUGCAACGGGUAACGGAGGGUUAGGGCUCGACCCCGGAGAAGGAGCCUGAGAAACGGCUACUACAUCCAAGGAAGGCAGCAGGCGCGCAAAUUACCCAAUCCCGACACGGGGAGGUAGUGACAAUAAAUACUGAUACAGGGCUCUUUUGGGUCUUGUAAUCGGAAUGAGUACAAUUUAAAUCCCUUAACGAGGAACAAUUGGAGGGCAAGUCUGGA